UCAAACUUGGUCAUUUAGAGGAAGUAAAAGUCGUAACAAGGUUUCCGUAGGUGAACCUGCGGAAGGAUCAUUAACGAGUUUUUGAAAGGGGUUGUCGCUGGCCGAAACCUAAGGCAUGUGCACACCCUGCUCAAUCCACUCUCAAACCCCUGUGCACUUACUGUAGGCUAUGGUGGGAUAGCUGGCUUCGGUCAGUUUGAAAGCCUUGCCUAUGUUAUUACAAACGCUUCAGUUAAAGAAUGUCAUACCGCGUUUAACGCAUUAUAUACAACUUUUAGCAACGGAUCUCUUGGCUCUCGCAUCGAUGAAGAACGCAGC
rnacentral:misc_RNA from 1 species